GAGGUGAGAGUUGGAUAAGUAAGAAU
rnacentral:piRNA from 1 species